GGUGAGAUGGCCGAGCGGUCUAAGGCGCCAGACUAAGGUAGUUCAGCCUGGAAUCUGGUCCGAAAGGGCGUGGGUUCAAAUCCCACUCUCAUCA